UAUUGGUUGAAAUAUUCUGCACAGAUGAAGCACAGAAGGGCCUGUUCAACUCCACUGUUGGAUGUCACAGAACUAUCUAAGAGGUCCCUGGUGAAUUUAUUCCUAACUUACAAAAGAAAAGAAGAGAAGAGAAGAGAAGAGAAGAGAAGAGAAGAGAAGAGAAGAGAAGAGAAGAGAAGAGAAGAGGAGAGGAGAGAAGAGAAGAGAAGAGAAAAGGAAGAAAGGAGAGAGAGCACUUAGCUUUUUAAUAACCACAGAAUCAGGACUUUAUAAGUCCUAGUUUUCAUUAGUACUUUAUUUCUUUAUAAUUAAGAAGCCUGAUAGAGAGAUUGUGAAUGUUUAUUUUAUUUUAUUUUUUUUACCAUGUACACAGUCUUUUAAUAUGGGCAACUCCUUGUGAGGUCUGGCUUGAGCAUCUCUGGAUUUCCCCCAAGAGUGCCUCAGGUGAAGCCACGAGCAGGUGCAGCCAACCAUAUGUUUGUUGAUUCCUUGGAGAUGUUCAGCAACUGAGUGAUGCGUGAUCUAUGACCAGACUGCUGCUCUGAGGGUCAGGUGCGGAACAUUUGUGAACUAUUUAGGAAAUAAGUUACUUGGCUCGACUUGUGUACAAGGUUUACAGAAUAAUAAAGACCUAAGAUGGAGGGAAGAAUUCCCCCCUCCCCAGCUCGUCUUAAAACCACCUUGAAUGUGAUUAUUGAUGCAACCUGUAGAUGUAAUGAUAUUAAUGAUUACAAAAUAUUCACAAGUGUACAUGAAA
rnacentral:lncRNA from 1 species